rnacentral:tRNA from 1 species
GGAUUGUAGCUCCGUGGUAGAGCACUUGCCUUGUACAUGUGAGGCCCUGGGUUUGAUCCUCAGCACCA